rnacentral:sRNA from 12 species
UUGAGUUACCAAAAGGGAAUACCCCUUUGUUCGGUCGAUAGCUGGAUACUGAUUUUGUUAAUUAAGCGUAUGUUAAGUACGUCAGUCUAGUUGGGAAGAGAGCAUAAGCUCUCUUUUCUUUUAUGG